UACGAAGGGGGCUAGCGUUGCUCGGAAUCACUGGGCGUAAAGCGCACGUAGGCGGCUUGUUAAGUCAGGGGUGAAAUCCUGGAGCUCAACUCCAGAACUGCCUUUGAUACUGGCGAGCUUGAGUUCGGGAGAGGUGAGUGGAACUGCGAGUGUAGAGGUGAAAUUCGUAGAUAUUCGCAAGAACACCAGUGGCGAAGGCGGCCCACUGGCCCGAUACUGACGCUGAGGUGCGAAAGCGUGGGGAGCAAACAGG
rnacentral:rRNA from 1 species